GACGAACGUUGGCGGCGUGCUUAGUACAUGCAAGUCCACUGAAGCAGUGGUAGCAAUAUCGCUGUGGAGGUGGCGCACGGGUGAGUAACACGUAGGUAAUCUGCCUUCAGGUCUGGCAUAACUCCGGGAAACCGGGGCUAAUAGCAGAUGAUGCAGCGGCUCGACAUCGAGACAGUUGUUAAAGCUAUGGCGCCUGAAGAUGAGCCUGCGUCUGAUUAGCUAGUUGGCGGGGUAACGGCCCACCAAGGCAACGAUCAGUAGCUGGUCUGAGAGGAUGAUCAGCCACACUGGAACUGAGACACGGUCCAGACUCCUACGGGAGGCAGCAGUAAGGAAUAUUGCUCAAUGGGAGAAAUCCUGAAGCAGCAACGCCGCGUGAGGGACGAAGGGCUUUUGCUUGUAAACCUCUGUAGUGAGAGAAAAAAAUCCCAAUCUUUGGGACAUGAUGGUAUCUCAAAAGUAAGCCCCGGCUAACUACGUG
rnacentral:rRNA from 1 species